rnacentral:rRNA from 1 species
GACGAACGCUGGCGGCGUGCUUAACACAUGCAAGUCGAACGGAAAGGCGCUGCUUUUGUGGGGUGCUCGAGUGGCGAACGGGUGAGUAACACGUGAGUAACCUGCCCUUGACUUUGGGAUAACUUCAGGAAACUGGGGCUAAUACCGGAUAGGAGCUCCUGCUGCAUGGUGGGGGUUGGAAAGUUUCGGCGGUUGGGGAUGGACUCGCGGCUUAUCAGCUUGUUGGUGGGGUAGUGGCUUACCAAGGCUUUGACGGGUAGCCGGCCUGAGAGGGUGACCGGCCACAUUGGGACUGAGAUACGGCCCAGACUGCUACGGGCGGCAGCAGUGGGGAAUAUUGCACAAUGGGCGGAAGCCUGAUGCAGCAACGCCGCGUGCGGGAUGAUGGCCUUCGGGUUGUGAACAGCUUUCGCCUGUGCCGAAGCGUGAGUGACGGUACUGGGUCAAGAAGCACCGGCUAACUACGUG